rnacentral:misc_RNA from 1 species
GAUGAAGAACGCAGCGAAAUGCGAUAGUAAUGUGAAUUGCAGAAUUCAGUGAAUCAUCGAAUCUUUGAACGCACAUUGCGCCCGCUAGUAUUCUGGCGGGCAUGCCUGUCCGAGCGUCAUUUCAACCCUCAAGCCCCCGGGCUUGGUGUUGGGGAUCGGCGAGCCUCCGCGCCCGCCGUCCCCUAAAUCUAGUGGCGGUCUCGCUGUAGCUUCCUCUGCGUAGUAGCACACCUCGCACUGGGAAACAGCGCGGCCACGCCGUUAAACCCCCAACUUCUGAACGUUUGACCUCGGAUCAGGUAGGAAUACCCGCUGAACUUAAGCAUAUCAAUAAGCGGAGGA